rnacentral:rRNA from 1 species
GUAGAUUUUUCUGGGCAAGUACUUCCUGUGCAAACGGUAAGAGAGCGGUGUCGGCCGUGAAGCCGGAGACAGGCGUGUCCAUGCCGUUUGCGUCGCGGUCUUCGACAUAGAUAUCCGCAUCAGGAGGGAGUGUGUCGUCGAAGCCAGCAUCGGAAAUCAGUUCAUAGUAGUUGGGGGAUACGGGGAACUCGUACUUGAGACCGUGUGGGUCGUCAUCGACGCGGGUUAGCUCGCACGGAGUCUGUCCGGCAGGCGCGAUGUAUUUUUCCCCAGCCCUGUCCAGCAUCCCGUAUUGAGAGUGUUGCACCAGUUUCCAUUCCGGCUCUUCCACAGCAACAGAUCCCAAGAUAAACCGAGGUUCUGUCUUCUGUCGUGGGCGGAACGGGGAGGAGCGUGGAGUAUUUAGUGGCGAGGAAUCGUUGGCACUGGCUGAGUCGUUUGCACGCGACGAGCGUGCGGCCGCAUCAGCAGAGUCGUCCGGGUUGGAGCCAGUUGUAGAGUCCGUGCGUCCUGUCGUAGACGGGGCAGUGCCACUCCUGUUCGUGGUGCGUGCACGUGACGCAGGGGUGUCCGACCCAUUUUGUGGCUUGCGAAGGGAUGGCGGCGUAGUCCGAUUAAAACGUGCCGUACGGUGUUGCACGAAGCAUGGUUUCUCGUCCUGGUUGUCCGGGUCAAAGUAGAUUUCUCUAACUGCCUCACGAUCAGAGAUCUUGAGCACGGGUGGACACUCUGUACGAUUGAAGUAUACAGUACGAUCGCGGGAAUUGAUUUGACCAUGUACUUGCGUGGGCGUGAUCAUGACUGGUCUCUCGCCGAGAGCCACAAAGUAGUCGUAGAUAACCGGGUCCGAGGCACUGAGGGGUAGACGACGUAAGUCGACGUAGUAGAGCUUGUCAUACUUUGAGUACUUGCGGAUUGUCACGAGGGAGCCACAGACCAUGAGCUGGGUAUUGCCCAGAAGGGCUUGCGCCUCUUCCGAUACGCAGACAAAGGAGAUACCAUGACCAGCAUAGCACUGGAAGUCCCGUAGGUGUUGUAGUUGCGCAGUCCAGAUGGCCGGUUGGCUAGCAGCGGCGAGCGAAGCCAUGAUCUCCGCCUGUCCGUGUUCACGAGUCAGGCGUGAUGCGGGAAUCCACAUCUGGACAUAGUGCUUGGCGGCGACGGGAGUUGGCACUGUCGCAAGGGCAGCUGCCUUGAGGUCGGACUCCGCCGUAGAGGCGGAGCUGAAGAGUUCCAGGCUGGCUUCAAAUUGGGUGUCGGUCGGUCGUGACCGAGGUGCAGGGCCAUCACGGCGCGGGGGUGCCGUACGCGCGGCCCCACGGGGCGUUGAGCGCUGAGGCGAGCGUUGUUGGUACUCACGUGUAGUAGCAGCCAUAGCCAGUGCUUGUAAGAAGUGAGGGGCGGAUGCUACGUCUCUAGUGUCGAAUGACACCUAAGCAACACCAGUCGAAAGGUACCUCAAUACCCGGACACGGUGAAGUGCAGCCUACAAUGUAUUGUCUGUUUCCACUCCGCGUAGAUUCAAACUUUCAGCGGCCCACGACCAGUCCGUCCUAGCGUCCUGGUAAGUGUGAACCGCUCUACAAAGCAGUUGGGGCAAACCUCAGUCGAUACCUUUCGGAAAAGACUUAGCGCACAGACUCUAGUCACGUAGCAGGACUGGGCCGUCAGUCAGAGACUUCAGACGCUUUCUGUCUACAGCGACACACGAGCUCGGAAGCAAAGGCGUAGGUAGCAGCCCACGGAGUACAGCGGCGACGAUGCGGGGUGGCAGCGGCAGCGCUCUAAGGAGAGGCUGGUAACGGUAACAGCAGCGACGGCGGGGAACUGGCGCAGUAGGUGACAGCGAUCCGCGAAGGUAGCUGACAACGACAACAACAGCGAGUGCGGGGCGGCGGCAGCAGAGCUUGCACGAGGAAGCACUGGAGUCAGCAGCGGCGGCGAGGAGCUUGGGCGGCGGCGGCAGCACUCCGUGAAGAGGGCUUGGCGGCGGCGGGAGCGAAGUCUUCUGUGCGAAGACGGGGCAGGUCGAAGGCGAUGUGCGCUCGACAGGGAAAAAUCCGGAAUGGGGGCGGGGAGUUUGGCUGGGGCGGCACAUCUGUUAAAUGAUAACACAGGUGUCCUAAGGUGAGCUCAAUGAGAACAGAAAUCUCAUGUAGAACAAAAGGGUAAAAGCUCACUUGAUUUUGAUUUUCAGUAUGAAUACAAACCGUGAAAGCGUGGCCUAUCGAUCCUUUAGUUCUUUCGAAUUUUAAGCUAGAGGUGUCAGAAAAGUUACCACAGGGAUAACUGGCUUGUGGCAGCCAAGCGUCCAUAGCGACGUUGCUUUUUGAUUCUUCGAUGUCGGCUCUUCCUAUCAUUGCGAAGUAGAACUCGCCAAUUGUUGGAUUGUUCACCCACUAAUAGGGAACGUGAGCUGGGUUUAGACCGUCGUGAGACAGGUUAGUUUUACCCUACUGAUGAGUUCGUUGUCUAAACAGUAAUCCAACCCAGUACGAGAGGAACCGUUGGUUCAGAUAAUUGGUAACUGCGGUUAGCUGAAAAGCUAGUGCCGCCAAGCUACCAUCUGUAGGAU